GCCGAGAUGGCUCAGUUGGUGGAGCGUGAGGCUCCGAAUCUCAGGGUCGUGGGUUCGAGCCCCACUUUGGGCA